rnacentral:rRNA from 1 species
ACUGUACAAAGGUAGCAUAAUAAUUAGUUUCUUAAUUAGGAACUGGAAUGAAUGAUUGAACGAGAUAAUAACUGUCUUAGUUUAAAUUAAAGAAUUUUAUUUUUAAGUGAAAAAGCUUAAAUUUUUUUAAAAGACGAGAAGACCCUAUAGAAUUUUAUAGUAGUUGAAAUAUAGAAAUUUAAGAAUAAGUAAUUUCUAUAUUUAUAAUUUUAUUUAGUUGGGGUGAUUGAAAAAUUUAUUAAACUUUUUUUUAUUAUUUUGUAUAUUGAUUUAUAGUUAUUUGAUCCAAUAUUUUUGAUUAUAAGAUUAAAUUACCUUAGGGAUAACAGCGUAAUUUUUUUAGAGAGUUCUUAUCGAUAAAAGAGAUUGCGACCUCGAUGUUGGAUUAAAGUUAAUUUUUAAUGUAGAAGUUAAAAAAUUAGGUCUGUUCGACCUUUAAAUCUUUACAUGAUCUGAGUUUA